CCUAAUGAUGAUACACACACUUAUUAGACGUUAGACUUCUGAUACCAAAGGAAGAGAAACGUAUAGCUAUCUGA